rnacentral:rRNA from 1 species
GAUGAACGCUGGCGGCGUGCCUAAUACAUGCAAGUCGAGCGAACAGACGAGGAGCUUGCUCCUCUGACGUUAGCGGCGGACGGGUGAGUAACACGUGGAUAACCUACCUAUAAGACUGGGAUAACUUCGGGAAACCGGAGCUAUACCGGAUAAUAUAUUGAACCGCAUGGUUCAAUAGUGAAAGACGGUUUUGCUGUCACUUAUAGAUGGAUCCGCGCCGCAUUAGCUAGUUGGUAAGGUAACGGCUUAUCAAGGCGACGAUGCGUAGCCGACCUGAGAGGGUGAUCGGCCACACUGGAACUGAGACACGGUCCAGACUCCUACGGGAGGCAGCAGUAGGGAAUCUUCCGCAAUGGGCGAAAGCUUGACGGAGCAACGCCGCGUGAGUGAUGAAGGUCUUCGGAUCGUAAAACUCUGUUAUUAGGGAAGAACAAAUGUGUAAGUAACUAUGCACGUCUUGACGGUACCUAAUCAGAAAGCCACGGCUAACUACGUG